rnacentral:lncRNA from 1 species
GUUUUUACUGGUUUUUAUUGGUGUGACGCAGGGGACCCCACGGCUGUGCCCGCCCUCGUGUGUCCCUGCGUGUCCCCCAGGGGUGACCCGGCCUGGCUGUGACCCCGCAGUGCCACCCUGGUCCCCGUCCUGCCAUCCCUGAUGACGCUGACGCGGGCGGGCGCGAUGGGCCUGGAGGGCGCGGUGGCACUUGGCUUGUCCCCAAGGGUGGCACUGCCCGGCCUGUCCCCCGUGGUGGCACCGCCCCGGGAAGGACAGUCCCUGUCAGGGAUGGUGGCGCUGCCACUGAUGGGUGUGUCCGUGACGGGGGGACUGCCAGUGACGUGUCUGUCCCCAAGGGUGACACCGUCCCUGGAUGGGCACUCCCGGAUGGGGACAGUGGCACUGUCCCUGCCUGGCCAGUCCCUGUCACAGAUGGUGGCACUGUCCCUGGAUGGGCACUCCCUGACAGAGGUGGUGGCUCUGUCCCUGCCAGACCAGUCCCCACGAGGGACGGUGGCACUGUCCCCUCCAGACCAAUCCCCUCGAGGGACAGUGACACCGUCCCUGGAUGGGCACUCCCUCUCAGAGGUGGUGGCUCUGUCCCUGGAUGGACACUCCCUGAUGGGGACAGUGGCACUGUCCCUGCCUGGCCAGUCCCCACGAGGGACAGUGACACCGUCCCUGGAUGGGCACUCCCGGAUGGGGACAGUGGCACUGUCCCUGCCUGGCCAGUCCCUGUCAGAGGUGGUGUCACUGUCCCUUGCUGGCCAGUCCCUGUCACAGAUGGUGGCUCUGUCCCUGCCAGACCAGUCCCCACGAGGAAUGGUGGCACUGUUCCCACCAGACCAGUCCCCACGGGGGACAGUGACACCGUCCCUGUCAGAGGUGGUGGCACUGUCCCUGGAUGGGCACACCCUGAUGGGGACAGUGGCACUGUUCCUGCCAGACCAGUCCCCACGAGGAAUGGUGGCACUGUCCCCACCAGACCAAUCCCCACGAGGGACGGUGACACCGUCCCUGCCCGGCCAGCCCGGGAAGGUGACAGUGGCACCGUCCCUGCCGGGGAUGGUGGCACUGCCACAGGCCAGCGUGUCCCCGAGGGUGGCAGGGCCGGGCAGCCUGGAUUCCACGAUGGUGGCGGUGACCCUGGGGAUGGAGUCCCCGACCAGGACGGUGGCACUGACAAAGACGGGCGUGUCCACGAUGGUGGCAGUGCCCCUGGACAGGCUGGCCCUGACGGGGACGGUGACACUGCCCAGGAUCCUCCUGUCCAUCACGGUGCCACUGAGAGUGACCAGCGCAUCCACGAUGGUGGCAGUGCCCCUGGACGGGCAGUCCCUGAUGGGGACGGUGGCACUGCCAGCUGCCGAGCUGUCCCCAGCGGUGUCACCGGCCCAGAACGGGCUGUCCCUGAUGGGGAUGGCGGCACUGGCGGUGACAGGCGUGUCCACGAUGGUGGCAGUGCCCCUGGAUAGGCUGUCCCUGACGGGGACAGUGGCACUGCCAGCAAAUGGCCUGUCCCCUGGAGUGCCACUGUCCCUGGAGGGACGGUCCCUGGCCGGAGGGGUGCCACUGUCAGUGACCAGCCUGUCCCCAACAGUGUCACUGUCAGUGACCAGCCUGUCCCCAACGGUGUCACUCAGAGUGACCAGCCUGUCCCCAAUGGUGCCACUACUACUGACUGGCCUGUCCCCAACAGUGUCACUGUCUGUGACCAGCCUGUCCCCAACGGUGUCACUGUCUGUGACCAGCCUGUCCCCAACGGUGCCACUCCUACUGACUGGCCUGUCCCCAACAAGGACAGUGACACUGGCAGAGACUGGCAUGGCCCUGACAGUGCCACUGCCCCCAGCUGGGCUGUCCCUGACAGGGACAGUGCCACUGCUCCUGUCCCCACUGUCACUGCCCCUGUGUGAUCUGUCCCUGACAGGGACAGUGGCACUGCCACUGCUCCUGUCACCAAAGUCACUGGGCCUGUGCGGCCUGUCCCUGCUGGGCACGGUGGCACUGCCACUGCUCCUGUCCCCACUGUCACUGUCUCUGAGUGGCCUGUCCCUGCUGGGCAGGGUGGCACUGCCACUGCUCCUGUCCUCAGAGCCACUGCCCCUGUGUGACCUGUCCCUGACGGGGACAGUGGCACUGCCCAGUCUGUCCCCACUGUCACUGGGCCUGUGUGGCCUGUCCCUGACAGGGACGGUGGCACUGCCCAGUCUGUCCCCACUGUCACUGGGCCUGUGUGAUCUGUCCCUGACAGGGACGGUGGCACUGCCAGGCCUGUCCCUUGUGGUGGCACUGCCAGGCCUGUCCCCUGUGGUGUCACUGCUCCUGUCCCCAAAGUCACUGGGCCUGUGCGGCCUGUCCCUGCUGGGCACGGUGGCACUGCCAGGCCUGUCCCCUGUGGUGGCACUGCCCAGUCUGUCCCCACUGUCGCUGGGCCUGUGUGGCCUGUCCCUGCUGGGCAUGGUGGCACUGCCAGGCCUGUCCCCUGUGGUGGCACUGCCAGGCCUGUCCCCACUGUCACUGGGCCUGUGUGGCCUGUCCCUGCUGGGCAUGGUGGCACUGCCAGGCCUGUCCCCUGUGGUGGCACUGCCCAGUCUGUCCCCACUGUCGCUGGGCCUGUGUGGCCUGUCCCUGCUGGGCAUGGUGGCGAUGGCCCUGUGCGAUCUGUCCCUGCCUGGCCUGUCCCCUGUGCCACUGUCUCUGGGUGACCUGUCCCUGACAGGGAUGGUGGCACUGCCACUGCUCCUGUCCCCAACGGUGCCACUGUCUCUGGGUGACCUGUCCCUGAUGGAGAUGGUGGCACUGCCUGGUCUGUCCCCAGGGGUGGCACUGCUCCUGUCCCCAAAGGUGCCACUGACUCUGGGUGACCUGUCCCUGAUGGAGAUGGUGGCACUGCCUGACCUGUCCCCAGGGGUGGCACUGCUCCUGUCCCCAGUGGUGCCACUGUCUCUGGGUGACCUGUCCCUGACAGGGAUGGUGGCACUGCCACUGCUCCUGUCCCCAGUGGUGGCACUGUCCCUGCCUGGCCUGUCCCCAAUGGUGGCACUGCUCCUGACUGGCCUGUCCCCAACAGCAGUGGCCCUGGCUGCGCUGUCCCUGACAGGGAUGGUGACACUGGCCCUGCCCUGCCUGUCCCCAGGGGUGCCACUGUCUCUCACUAACCUGUCCCCAGAGGUGACACUGGCCCUGCCCUGCCUGUCCCCAGGGGUGGCACUAUCUCUGGGUGACCUGUCCCUGCCAGGGAUGGUGGCACUGUCUCUGACUGUCCUGUCCCCAGGGGUGGCACUGUCUCUCACUAACCUGUCCCUGCCAGGGAUGGUGACACUGGCCCUGCCCGGCCUGUCCCCAGAGGUGGCACUGGCCUUACUGGGGACAGUGGCACCACUGACCGGGCUGUCCCUGGUGGGGAUGGUGGCACUCCUGGUGACAGGCCUGUCCCCAGGGGUGCCACUGUCCCUGGAUGAAAUGUCCUUACUGGGGACAGUGGCACUGCCCCUGCCUGGCCUGUCCCCAGGGGUGGCACUGCCACUGGAUGGGCUGGCCUUGGCAGGGACAGUGGGGACAGUGGCACUCCUGGUGACCGACCUGUCCCCAGGGGUGGCACUGCCACUGAUGGGCUUGUCCCUGACUGGGAUGGUGGCACUGCCACUGAUGGGCUUGUCCCUGACAGGGACGGUGGCACUGCCACCAGCUGGGCUGUCCCUGGUGGGAAUGGUGGCACUCCUGGUGACAGGCCUGUCCCCAGGGCUGGCACUGCCACUGGAUGGGCUGGCCUUACUGGGGACAGUGGCAGUGCCACCAGCCAAGCUGUCCAUGACAGGGACGGUGGCACUCCUGGUGACAGGCCUGUCCCCAAGAGUGUCACCAUCCCUGGAUGAGCUGUCCUUACUGGGGACAGUGGCACUGCCACCAGCCGAGCUGGCCCUGACAGGGACAGUGGCACUGCCUCGGCCCAGCCUGUCCCCAGUGCCACCAACCCUGGAUGUGCUGUCCCUGGUGGGGACGGUGGCACUCCUGGUGACAGGCCUGUCCCCAGCGUCACUGUCCCUGGAUGAGCUGUCCCUGGUGGGGACGGUGGCACUCCUGGUGACAGGCCUGUCCCCAGAGGUGGCACUGUCUCUGGGUGAGCUGUCCUUACUGGGGACAGUGGCACUGCCACCAGCUGGGCUGUCCCUGACAGGGACAGUGGCACUGCCCCUACCCGGCCUGUCCCCAGAGGUGGCACUGUCCCUGGGUGAGCUGUCCCUGACAAGGACAGUGGCACUCCUGGUGACAGGCCUGUCCCCAGUGUCACUGUCCCUGGGUGAGCUGUCCCUGACAGGGACAGUGGCACUCCUGGUGACAGGCCUGUCCCCAGCAGUGGCACUGAUCCUGGAUGGACUGGCCUUGACAGGGACAGUGGCACUGCCACCAGCUGUGGGGACAGUGGCACUCCUGGUGACAGGCCUGUCCCCAGGGUGGCACUGUCCCUGGGUGAGCUGUCCCUGACAGGGACAGUGGCACUCCUGGUGACAGGCCUGUCCCCAGGGCUGGCACUGCCUUGGGAUGAGCUGUCCUUACUGGUGACAGUGGCACUGCCACCAGCUGGGCUGUCCCUGACAGGGAUGGUGGCACUCCUGAUGACUGUCCUGUCCCCAGUGUCACUGUCCCUGGCCGAGCUGUCCCUGACAGGGAGGGUGGCACUGCCUGUCCUGUCCCCAGGGCUGGCACUGGUGCUGGGUGAGCUGUCACUGACAGGGACGGUGGCACUGCCACUGGACAGGCUGGCCUUGGCGGGGACGGUGGCACUCCUGGUGACAGGCCUGUCCCCAGGGGUGGCACUGCCCAGGGAUGAGCUGUCCUUACUGGGGACAGUGGCACUGCCACCGUCCAGCCUGUCCCCAGUGGUGGCACUGCCACUGGAUGGGCUGUCCCUGACAGGGAUGGUGGCACUCCUGGUGACAGGCCUGUCCCCAGCAGUGGCACUGCCACUGGCUGCAUUGUCCUUGGCAGGGACAGUGGCAGUGCCACCAGCUGGGCUGUCCCUGGCGGGGAUGGUGGCACUCCUGGUGACAGGCCUGUCCCCAGAGGUGGCACUGCCACUGGAUGGGCUGUACCUGACAGGGACGGUGGCACUCCUGGUGACAGGCCUGUCCCCAGCGUCACUGUCCCUGGAUGAGCUGUCCCUGGUGGGGACGGUGGCACUCCUGGUGACAGGCCUGUCCCCAGCAGUGGCACUGCCACUGGCUGCAUUGUCCUUGACAGGGACAGUGGCACUGCCACUUGUCCUUGACAGGGACAGUGGCACUCCUGGUGACAGGCCUGUCCCCAGAGGUGGCACUGCCACUGGACAGGCUGGCCUUGGCAGGGAUGGUGGCACUCCUGGUGACCGGCUUGUCCCUGACAGGGACGGUGGCACUGCCACCAGCCAGACUGUCCCUUAUGGGAAUGGUGGCACUCCUGGUGACAGGCCUGUCCCCAGGGCUGGCACUGCCACUGGAUGGGCUGG